GGAGAGAUGGGUGAGUGGCUGAAACCCCAGUCCUGCUAAGACUGUAUACCUCACAAGGGUAUCGAGAGUUCGAAUCUCUCUCUCUCCGCCA
rnacentral:tRNA from 3 species